rnacentral:tRNA from 1 species
AGAGCCUUAGGCUAAUCCACUAAGCCGAGAGCCUUCAAAGCCCUAGAUACGGUCACCCGUAGGCUCUG